rnacentral:misc_RNA from 1 species
UCCUGGUUAACCCAGGCAGUCUCAUUAGAGUUCCCACCUUAAAUGUUGGCAACUAAUGAUAAGGGUUGCGCUCGUUGCGGGACUUAACCCAACACCUCACGGCACGAGCUGACGACAGCCAUGCAGCACCUGUGCACCGGCCCCGAAGGGACGCACCAUUUCUGGUGUUGUCCGGUGCAUGUCAAGUCUGGGUAAGGUUCUUCGCGUUGCAUCGAAUUAAACCACAUGCUCCACUGCUUGUGCGGGUCCCCGUCAAUUCUUUUGAGUUUCAGCCUUGCGACUGUACUCCCCAGGCGGUAUACUUAACGCGUUAGCUACGGCACAACCGGGGUUGAGUCCAGUUACACCAAGUAUACAUAGUUUAGGGCAAGGACUAC